rnacentral:rRNA from 2 species
GUAGUCAUAUGCUUGUCUCAAAGAUUAAGCCAUGCAUGUCUAAGUAUAAGCAAUUAUACCGUGAAACUGCGAAUGGCUCAUUAAAUCAGUUAUCGUUUAUUUGAUAAUACCUUACUACUUGGAUAACCGUGGUAAUUCUAGAGCUAAUACAUGCUGAAAAUCCCGACUUCGGAAGGGAUGUGUUUAUUAGAUAAAAAACCAAUGCCCUUCGGGGCUUUUUGGUGAUUCAUGAUAACUUUACGGAUCGCAUAGCCUUGCGCUGGCGACGGUUCAUUCAAAUUUCUGCCCUAUCAACUUUCGAUGGUAAGGUAUUGGCUUACCAUGGUUUCAACGGGUAACGGGGAAU